rnacentral:ribozyme from 1 species
GCUUUCCCAAAAGUAUGUGCUCUUCUGUAAAUGAGAGCAUUUGCCAUGGAAUCCCAGACGACCGCCCCCUCCUGGCCGGGGACCUGGUCAGCUUCGAUGUCUCCU